rnacentral:snoRNA from 1 species
UCUGUGGUAAAGUUAUUAUUUUUUGAAUAGGAAUCUCACUCUGUCAUCCAGGCUGGAGUGCAGUGGCACACU